rnacentral:rRNA from 1 species
GACGAACGCUGGCGGCGUGCUUAACACAUGCAAGUCGAACGGUAAGGCCCCAGCUUGCUGGGGUACACGAGUGGCGAACGGGUGAGUAACACGUGGGUGACCUGCCCCGCACUUCGGGAUAAGCCUGGGAAACUGGGUCUAAUACCGGAUAGGACCGCACCGUGAGGGUGUGGUGGAAAGUUUUUCGGUGUGGGAUGGGCCCGCGGCCUAUCAGCUUGUUGGUGGGGUAAUGGCCUACCAAGGCGGCGACGGGUAGCCGGCCUGAGAGGGUGGACGGCCACAUUGGGACUGAGACACGGCCCAGACUCCUACGGGAGGCAGCAGUAGGGAAUCUUCCGCAAUGGACGAAAGUCUGACGGAGCAACGCCGCGUGAGUGAUGAAGGGUUUCGGCUCGUAAAGCUCUGUUGUUAGGGAAGAAACAGUACCGAACGAACUAGGUCGGUACCUUGACGGUACCUAACCAGAAAGCCACGGCUAACUACGUG